GUUGACCUCGGAUCAGGUAGGAAUACCCGCUGAACUUAAGCAUAUCAAUAAGCGGAGGAAUUUUCAUU
rnacentral:rRNA from 1 species